AACAGCACACUAACUAGUACCUUGGAUUACGGGCUAAAAUCUUCCCCCCCGGGGGGGUUUUUCCCCAGUCAAGAUGCGCAAGAAAAGCAACCAACAGGGAUUGCCCUAGUAACGGCGAGUGAAGCGGCAACUGCUCAAAUUUGAAAUCUGGCCCUUUCAGGGUCCGAGUUGUAAUUUGUAGAGGGUGCUUUGGCGUAGGCUGUGGUCUAAGUUCCUUGGAACAGGACGUCGCAGAGGGUGAGAAUCCCGUAUGUGGCCGCCAGUCUUCGCCGUGUAAAGCCCCUUCGACGAGUCGAGUUGUUUGGGAAUGCAGCUCUAAAUGGGAGGUAAAUUUCUUCUAAAGCUAAAUAUUGGCCAGAGACCGAUAGCGCACAAGUAGAGUGAUCGAAAGAUGAAAAGCACUUUGGAAAGAGAGUCAAAAAGCACGUGAAAUUGUUGAAAGGGAAGCGCUUGCAGCCAGACUUGCCUGUAGUUGCUCAUCCGGGCUUUUGCCCGGUGCACUCUUCUAUGGGCAGGCCAGCAUCAGUCCCAGCGGUUGGAUAAAUGCCUGUUGAAUGUACCUCUCUUCGGGGAGGACUUAUAGCUUCGGGCGGCAUACAACCAGCCGGGAUUGAGGUCCGCGCAUCUGCUAGGAUGCUGGCGUAAUGGCUGUAAGCGGCCCGUCUUGAAACACGGACCAAGGAGUCUAACAUCUAUGCGAGUGUUUGGGUGUCAAGCCCGAGCGCGUAAUGAAAGUGAACGGAGGUGGGAACCCCUCGGGGCGCACCAUCGACCGAUCCUGAUGUUCUCGGAUGGAUUUGA
rnacentral:rRNA from 1 species